rnacentral:lncRNA from 10 species
GGUGCUCUGUGCUGGGGUGUUCUUUUCUCGGAGGGCGCACUCGGGGAAGGUGGAAAGGUUUCCCCCUUCAGGGGUGACCAAGACAAGCCGCUAAGCCUAACCUGACUCCAGCAGGGGAUGGGGCGGAUCGGAAGUUACCUUACCCCCCUGCUUAGCCCUAGAAUCAAGGACGUACCAAGUCACAUAAAAGUACAACCGUCGAGGCCAGGCGCGGUGGCUCACGCCUGUAAUCCCAGCACUUUGGAAGGCCGAGGUGGGUGGAUCACGAGGUCAGGAGUUCAAGACCAGCCUGGCCAAGAUGGUGAAACCCCGUCUCUACUAAAAAUACAAAAAAAUUAGCCGGGCGUGGUGGCGGGCGCCUGUAAUCCCAGCUACUCGGGAGGCUGAGGCAAAGACUUGCUUGAACCCGGGAGGCGGAGAUUGCAGGUAGCCGAGAUCGCGCCACUGCACUCCAGCCUGGGCGACAGAGCGAGACUCUGUCUCAAAAAAAAAAAAAAAAAAGUACAACCUUCGAAUCCCGAAAGGGGUGUGUGCGUGUGGGCGGACCUAGGACUCCAGAGUAUAAGAGCUGGAACUGACCUCGGGACUGUGUCCCCCAAAACACUGAAAAUGAGACCUGAGGUGCUGGGCUUUCCUCACACCCACCGACUUACUCCCAUUUAGGCGGCCCCGACUCCGCCCCUCCUCCCUACCUCCCUCAUCCUACCCCUCUCUUUUUGCCCCCACAGUCCCAGCUUCCUUUAGAUGGAUGGAGGUCUCUCGGAGGAGCUUCAGCUUUGUGGACUCAGGCUGCCUUCCCCACUUGCU